AACGAACGCUGGCGGCAUGCCUAACACAUGCAAGUCGAACGAGACCUUCGGGUCUAGUGGCGCACGGGUGCGUAACGCGUGGGAACCUGCCCUUAGGUUCGGAAUAACUCCCCGAAAGGGGUGCUAAUACCGGAUAAUGUCUUCGGACCAAAGAUUUAUCGCCUUUGGAUGGGCCCGCGUUGGAUUAGCUAGUUGGUAGGGUAAAAGCCUACCAAGGCGACGAUCCAUAGCUGGUCUGAGAGCAUGAUCAGCCACACUGGGAAUGAGACACGGCCCAGAAUGCUACGGGAGGCAGGAGAGGGGAAUAUAGGAAAAUGGGGGAAAGCCUGAUAAAGCACGGCCGCGGGAGUGAUGAAGGGCGUAGGGUAGUAAAGCUCUUUUACCCGGGAUGAGAAUGACAGUACCGGGAGAAGAAGCUCCGGCUAACUACGUG
rnacentral:rRNA from 1 species